rnacentral:rRNA from 1 species
GACGAACGCUGGCGGCGUGCCUAAUACAUGCAAGUUGAGCGCUGAAGGUUGGUACUUGUACCAACUGGAUGAGCAGCGGACGGGUGAGUAACGCGUGGGUAAUCUGCCUUUGAGCGGGGGACAACAUUUGGAAACGAAUGCUAAUACCGCAUAAAAUCUUUAAACACAAGUUUUAAGAUUGAAAGAUGCAAUUGCAUCACUCAAAGAUGAUCCCGGGGUGUAUUAGCUAGUUUGGUAGGUAAAGGCUUACCAAGGCGAAGAUACCUAGCCGACCUGAGAGGGGGGUCGGCCACAAUGGGACUGGAAAAACGCCCAAACCCCUUAGGGAGGGAACAGGAGGGAAUCUUCGGGAAUGGAGGAAAGGCUGACCGAGCAACGCCGGGGGAGGGAAGAAGGUUUUCGGAUCGGAAAAAUCUGUUGGUAGGGAAGAAAGUUGGUGAGAGUGGAAAGCGCAUGAAGUGACGGUAACUACUCAGAAAGGGACGGCUAACUACGUG